rnacentral:rRNA from 1 species
UGGGGAAUUUUGGACAAUGGGCGAAAGCCUGAUCCAGCAAUGCCGCGUGUAUGAAGAAGGCCUUCGGGUUGUAAAGCACUUUUGUCCGGAAAGAAAUCCUUGGCUCUAAUACAGUCGGGGGAUGACGGUACCGGAAGAAUAAGCACCGGCUAACUACGUGCCAGCAGCCGCGGUAAUACGUAGGGUGCAAGCGUUAAUCGGAAUUACUGGGCGUAAAGCGUGCGCAGGCGGUUUGCUAAGACCGAUGUGAAAUCCCCGGGCUCAACCUGGGAACUGCAUUGGUGACUGGCAGGCUAGAGUAUGGCAGAGGGGGGUAGAAUUCCACGUGUAGCAGUGAAAUGCGUAGAGAUGUGGAGGAAUACCGAUGGCGAAGGCAGCCCCCUGGGCCAAUACUGACGCUCAUGCACGAAAGCGUGGGGAGCAAACAGGAUUAGAUACCCUGGUAGUCCACGCCCUAAACGAUGUCAACUAGUUGUUGGGGAUUCAUUUCCUUAGUAACGUAGCUAACGCGUGAAGUUGACCGCCUGGGGGAGUACGGUCGCAAGAUUAAAACUCAAAGGAAUUGACGGGGU